rnacentral:lncRNA from 1 species
AUGGCCGGGCUGCUGCCGCUGCUGGGGCUGCUGCCGGUGCUGUCGGUGCUGCCGCCCCGCGCAUUGCAGCAUAAUUUGAGGAAUGUGAAACACAUGAAGAAGAUGUUGCAUCCAUACUCCCCUGCUGAGAUUUCAGCUGAGGACACAGCCCGUGCACCUCAAGCAACCUUCUCUAGGACAGAGGCAGAUACAGAAGAGGAAACCCUGAAGAACCUCGUGGACGUUCUGCAUCACGUCAUGCGCAACGAUCCCUCGCAGGGCGCGCUGGCUGCGCCUUCAGCAGCGACACCCCCUCGUAAUGAUACCAUCGAUGCUCUUUGGUUAAAAGUAUACAAGAAGCAUGCUGAGAAGCCAGAAAAAACGGGAAAGGUUGCAAUGACAAGAAAACCUACUCCAACCAUGCCAUCACUUCCGACUCUCCAAGCUGACCCAGAUUUUUCUGCUGCUUCGUGUGUUUUUGAGUCUGCUCAGCUGACAGCAGCACUGGAAGAGCUGGCCUUCAUACUGCAAAGUGCUGUUCCAAAGGGGAAAGAUAAGAUUCUUGAUCAGCUAAUAAAUGGAUUUAGUGAAGUCUUCAAAGAAUGUUUUAAAAAAAGUGAUGCCAAAAAUCACAAGUAAGUUUGAACACCCAAAACCUACUAGCAAAAUGUUGAAAAAAGUUGCAUUGCUGUAAAAAGAUGGAACAUCGAGUUCUAGCCAAAGUCAUCUUGGGAAUGAUUAAAACGUUAUAGAUAGCGGUAGGGAAUGCAUCUGACAGCAUUAAAACCCCACACCUCCAUGGGCAUGUUGAAUUGGCUGGGAUCCAGAGAGCAAAAGCUCAGGAACUAGAAGCAGAGAAUUUGCAAAAGCAAGCACAUAAUUUUUAUAAAACUUCCUCAGCUCCUCCCUCUCCAUCUCUCUGUCCACUAGGUCUGGGGGAGAGCUCAGCAGAAACCAGGAAAGUAAGAUCUUUGAUUAACCUGCUUUAAGGUUUUAGCCCUCAGUUAAAUUCAUACAGUAAUAAAUUCAAAAUUAAAAAAAAUUGAUAAUUAUAAUGAGAAAAAUAUCCUGGAGGACAUUGUUGAAAAUGUUGCUCCAUUGUCUAAGGCUCUAAAAAGUGUUUCAGUGGAAGCCAGAGCACUACAAGAAAAGAAAAUCUUAAGAAGAUACUGAUUUCUAGACCAGGCUUUUAAGAGCUAUAAAGGAAUUCCAUAUAUAUAUACACACCAAUAUCUGGAAUAUUGUCACAGUCUUUAUGUGAGGUUUUAAAAUAAUAAAAAGUCAUCCAAUCCAGAUAUAACUAUUUAUCCCUGUAAUUAAAAGUUAUUUAUAAAAGUUCUGUCUCAUGCCUGUUGUGUGACAAUGAUCAACUGGAAAUAAGAUACUGAAAUAAAGAGAAGCACUCAGUGGGCUUUUCCAAAUUUUUCUGUUUCAUAAGUUUGUACAGGAGAUGACCACUGAAGUCAGUCAUAUUUUUAAUAUUUUUAGAUUACACUCAAUGUUCUACACUAAUGGCAUGAAAAUAAAUUGUCUCCAACAAUUUCUCCUUUUUCCUUUUUUUUUUUUAAUUUAUUUUUUAGUGACCAUAUUUUCAUUUCUAUCACUGGAAAUACAUCAUUACUUAAAAACAGCACAAUGCCACAUUUACACUUUCUGCUGCUAAAUGCCAGAUUUUGGAGCCUUACAUUAUUUCUGUUUUCUUACAGUUUGGCUUUCCUUCAAAAUGCCAGAAUUCACCAAAAUACUCAGCACCUUGAGGCGUGCUGCAUGGAGGUUUGGGCACUCGGUGCCUCGCGCGGUGCAGCCCUGUGCUGGUGAGGGUCCCUUCGAGCACCUCCUACCGGGGGGGGGGCCAACAUUAUGAAAAAUAAGUGGGGUUACACAUCCCUCUUUUGUAAAUAUUUUGCCAUCAUGGACGUGAGUGAGCUGCGCUCUGUUGUGGGGCAGUUGUAUUUGGAGGGGUGGUGGCUGGGGUUUCUGCAUCGCCCUUCGAGCAGCACCCGCUGCCCCCGGGAGCAGUCGCAGCUGAUGUUCGGUGCUGUUUUGGGUGAAGAACUUGAUUACUUGCAUUUGAAGAACCAAAUGUGCUCUUUUAUUUUCCGAGUCUUUAGAUGGGGAUCCAUAAGACAGGUUCAAAGUAGUUCUGAAAUAAUGAGGUAAUUAUGGAGAUGUCACAGCCAGAUGCUCCUUCAUGGUUCUGUUGAAUUUUUUUUUUUUUUUUCUUUUAAUUUGACAUGAAAAGCUUUACCAGGAUGAAAUUACCUUAAACCUUUAAAAGGGUAGGCAUCUCCAUGGCAAAAUCACUUAGAUCUGAACUCACAGCUGACUGAAGAGCUCUGGAUCUUUGAAUGAACAAGACUGAAAGCUGUAACUCAUUUGAUUUAAGGUGAGUUUAAGAAUUAAGAAUGCUGAAAUGUACGAUUCUUCAAAUGAAAAGUUUUGUCAUUUUUGCAAUUUUUCAGGUAAUCUAAAGAUCUUUAACUUUAUU